AUUUUGGACAAUGGGCGCAAGCCUGAUCCAGCCAUGCCGCGUGAGUGAAGAAGGCCUUCGGGUUGUAAAGCUCUUUCGGCGGAGACGAAAAGGUCCGAGUCAAUACCUCGGAUCCAUGACGGUCCCCGCAGAAGAAGCACCGGCUAACUACGUGCCAGCAGCCGCGGUAAUACGUAGGGUGCAGGCGUUAAUCGGAAUUACUGGGCGUAAAGCGUGCGCAGGCGGUCUUUUAAGUCAGAUGUGAAAUCCCCGGGCUUAACCUGGGAACUGCGUUUGAAACUGAAAGGCUAGAGUGUGGCAGAGGGGGGUGGAAUUCCACGUGUAGCAGUGAAAUGCGUAGAGAUGUGGAGGAACACCGAUGGCGAAGGCAGCCCCCUGGGCUAACACUGACGCUCAUGCACGAAAGCGUGGGGAGCAAAC
rnacentral:rRNA from 1 species